AUUGAACGCUGGCGGCAUGCCUUACACAUGCAAGUCGAACGGCAGCACGGGCUUCGGCCUGGUGGCGAGUGGCGAACGGGUGAGUAAUACAUCGGAACGUGCCCUAUAGUGGGGGAUAACUAGUCGAAAGAUUAGCUAAUACCGCAUACGACCUGAGGGUGAAAGCGGGGGACCGUAAGGCCUCGCGCUACAGGAGCGGCCGAUGUCUGAUUAGCUAGUUGGUGGGGUAAGAGCCUACCAAGGCGACGAUCAGUAGCUGGUCUGAGAGGACGAUCAGCCAGACUGGGACUGAGACACGGCCCAGACUCCUACGGGAGUAAGCAGGGGGGAAUUUUGGACAAUGGGGGCAACCCUGAUCCAGCAAUGCCGCGUGUGUGAAGAAGGCCUUCGGGUUGUAAAGCACUUUUGUCCGGAAAGAAAUGGCUCUGGUUAAUACCUGGGGUCGAUGACGGUACCGGAAGAAUAAGCACCGGCUAACUACGUGCCAGCAGCCGCCGUAA
rnacentral:rRNA from 1 species